GGUUAAGCGACUAAGCGUACACGGUGGAUGCCCUGGCAGUCAGAGGCGAUGAAGGGCGUGCUAAUCUGCGAUAAGCGCCGGUAAGGUGAUAUGAACCGUUAUAACCGGCGAUACCCGAAUGGGGAAACCCAGUGUGAUUCGUCACACUAUCAUUAACUGAAUCCAUAGGUUAAUGAGGCGAACCGGGGGAACUGAAACAUCUAAGUACCCCGAGGAAAAGAAAUCAACCGAGAUUCCCCCAGUAGCGGCGAGCGAACGGGGAGGAGCCCAGAGCCUGAAUCAGCAUGUGUGUUAGUGGAAGCGUCUGGAAAGGCGCGCGAUACAGGGUGACAGCCCCGUACACAAAAGCGCAUGUGCUGUGAGCUCGAUGAGUAGGGCGGGACACGUGGUAUCCUGUCUGAAUAUGGGGGGACCAUCCUCCAAGGCUAAAUACUCCUGACUGACCGAUAGUGAACCAGUACCGUGAGGGAAAGGCGAAAAGAACCCCGGCGAGGGGAGUGAAAAAGAACCUGAAACCGUGUACGUACAAGCAGUGGGAGCACCCUUUGGGUGUGACUGCGUACCUUUUGUAUAAUGGGUCAGCGACUUAUAUUCUGUAGCAAGGUUAACCGAAUAGGGGAGCCGGAGGGAAACCGAGUCUUAACCGGGCGUUAAGUUGCAGGGUAUAGACCCGAAACCCGGUGAUCUAGCCAUGGGCAGGUUGAAGGUUGGGUAACACUAACUGGAGGACCGAACCGACUAAUGUUGAAAAAUUAGCGGAUGACCUGUGGCUGGGGGUGAAAGGCCAAUCAAACCGGGAGAUAGCUGGUUCUCCCCGAAAGCUAUUUAGGUAGCGCCUCGUGAAUUCAUCUCCGGGGGUAGAGCACUGUUUCGGCUAGGGGGCCAUCCCGGCUUACCAACCCGAUGCAAACUGCGAAUACCGGAGAAUGUUAUCACGGGAGACACACGGCGGGUGCUAACGUCCGUCGUGAAGAGGGAAACAACCCAGACCGCCAGCUAAGGUCCCAAAGUCAUGGUUAAGUGGGAAACGAUGUGGGAAGGCCCAGACAGCCAGGAUGUUGGCUUAGAAGCAGCCAUCAUUUAAAGAAAGCGUAAUAGCUCACUGGUCGAGUCGGCCUGCGCGGAAGAUGUAACGGGGCUAAACCAUGCACCGAAGCUGCGGCAGCGACACUGUGUGUUGUUGGGUAGGGGAGCGUUCUGUAAGCCUGUGAAGGUGUGUCGUGAGGCAUGCUGGAGGUAUCAGAAGUGCGAAUGCUGACAUAAGUAACGAUAAAGCGGGUGAAAAGCCCGCUCGCCGGAAGACCAAGGGUUCCUGUCCAACGUUAAUCGGGGCAGGGUGAGUCGACCCCUAAGGCGAGGCCGAAAGGCGUAGUCGAUGGGAAACGGGUUAAUAUUCCCGUACUUGGUGUUACUGCGAAGGGGGGACGGAGAAGGCUAUGUUGGCCGGGCGACGGUUGUCCCGGUUUAAGCGUGUAGGUGUGUGUUCCAGGUAAAUCCGGUUCACUUUAACACUGAGGCGUGACGACGAGGCACUACGGUGCUGAAGCAACAAAUGCCCUGCUUCCAGGAAAAGCCUCUAAGCAUCAGGUAACAUCAAAUCGUACCCCAAACCGACACAGGUGGUCAGGUAGAGAAUACCAAGGCGCUUGAGAGAACUCGGGUGAAGGAACUAGGCAAAAUGGUGCCGUAACUUCGGGAGAAGGCACGCUGACACGUAGGUGAAGUGAUUUACUCAUGGAGCUGAAGUCAGUCGAAGAUACCAGCUGGCUGCAACUGUUUAUUAAAAACACAGCACUGUGCAAACACGAAAGUGGACGUAUACGGUGUGACGCCUGCCCGGUGCCGGAAGGUUAAUUGAUGGGGUCAGCGCAAGCGAAGCUCCUGAUCGAAGCCCCGGUAAACGGCGGCCGUAACUAUAACGGUCCUAAGGUAGCGAAAUUCCUUGUCGGGUAAGUUCCGACCUGCACGAAUGGCGUAAUGAUGGCCAGGCUGUCUCCACCCGAGACUCAGUGAAAUUGAACUCGCUGUGAAGAUGCAGUGUACCCGCGGCAAGACGGAAAGACCCCGUGAACCUUUACUAUAGCUUGACACUGAACAUUGAGCCUUGAUGUGUAGGAUAGGUGGGAGGCUUUGAAGUGUGGACGCCAGUCUGCAUGGAGCCGACCUUGAAAUACCACCCUUUAAUGUUUGAUGUUCUAACGUGGACCCGUUACCCGGGUUGCGGACAGUGUCUGGUGGGUAGUUUGACUGGGGCGGUCUCCUCCUAAAGAGUAACGGAGGAGCACGAAGGUUGGCUAAUCCUGGUCGGACAUCAGGAGGUUAGUGCAAUGGCAUAAGCCAGCUUGACUGCGAGCGUGACGGCGCGAGCAGGUGCGAAAGCAGGUCAUAGUGAUCCGGUGGUUCUGAAUGGAAGGGCCAUCGCUCAACGGAUAAAAGGUACUCCGGGGAUAACAGGCUGAUACCGCCCAAGAGUUCAUAUCGACGGCGGUGUUUGGCACCUCGAUGUCGGCUCAUCACAUCCUGGGGCUGAAGUAGGUCCCAAGGGUAUGGCUGUUCGCCAUUUAAAGUGGUACGCGAGCUGGGUUUAGAACGUCGUGAGACAGUUCGGUCCCUAUCUGCCGUGGGCGCUGGAGAACUGAGGGGGGCUGCUCCUAGUACGAGAGGACCGGAGUGGACGCAUCACUGGUGUUCGGGUUGUCAUGCCAAUGGCACUGCCCGGUAGCUAAAUGCGGAAGAGAUAAGUGCUGAAAGCAUCUAAGCACGAAACUUGCCCCGAGAUGAGUUCUCCCUGAGACUUUAGGUCUCCUGAAGGAACGUUGAAGACGACGACGUUGAUAGGCCGGGUGUGUAAGCGCAGCGAUGCGUUGAGCUAACCGGUACUAAUGAACCGUGAGGCUUAACCUU
rnacentral:rRNA from 3 species